rnacentral:rRNA from 1 species
UUCCGGUUGAUCCUGCCGGACCCGACUGCUAUCAGAGUGGGACUAAGCCAUGCGAGUCAACAUAGCAAUAUGUGGCAUACGGCUCAGUAACACGUAGUCAACAUGCCCAGGGGACGUGGAUAACCUCGGGAAACUGAGGAUAAACCGCGAUAGGUCAUCACUUCUGGAAUGGGUAAUGACUUAAAUCUAUAUGGCCCCUGGAUUGGACUGCGGCCGAUCAGGCUGUUGGUGAGGUAAUGGCCCACCAAACCUGUAACCGGUACGGGCUCUGAGAGGAGGAGCCCGGAGAUGGGCACUGAGACAAGGGCCCAGGCCCUAUGGGGCGCAGCAGGCGCGAAACCUCUGCAAUAGGCGAAAGCUUGACAGGGUUACUCUGAGUGAUUUCCGUUAAGGAGAUCUUUUGGCACCUCUAAAAAUGGUGCAGAAUAAGGGGUGGGCAAGUCUGGUGUCAGCCGCCGCGGUAAUACCAGCACCCCGAGUGGUCGGGACGUUUAUUGGGCCUAAAGCAUCCGUAGCCGGUUCUACAAGUCUUCCGUUAAAUCCACCUGCUUAACAGAUGGGCUGCGGAAGAUACUAUAGAGCUAGGAGGCGGGAGAGGCAAGCGGUACUCGAUGGGUAGGGGUAAAAUCCGUUGAUCCAUUGAAGACCACCAGUGGCGAAGGCGGCUUGCCAGAACGCGCUCGACGGUGAGGGAUGAAAGCUGGGGGAGCAAACUGGAUUAGAUACCCGGGUAGUCCCAGCUGUAAACGAUGCAGACUCGGUGAUGAGUUGGCUUAUUGCUAACUCAGUGCCGCAGGGAAGCCGUUAAGUUUGCCGCCUGGGGAGUACGGUCGCAAGACUGAAACUUAAAGGGAUUGGCGGGGGAGCA